GAAAGACCCCGUGAACCUUUACUAUAGCUUCACAGUGAACUUUGAACCUACUUGUGUAGGAUAGGUGGGAGGCUUUGAAGCGCAGACGCUAGUUUGCGUGGAGCCACUCUUGAAAUACCACCCUGGUAUGUUUGAGGUUCUAACUCAGGUCCCUUAUCGGGAUCGAGGACACUGUGUGGUGGGUAGUUUGACUGGGGCGGGCUCCUCCCAAAGAGU
rnacentral:rRNA from 1 species